AUGAUGGCCUCCGCCACCAUGGCCACCUGCUUCUGCUCCUCCUCCUCUUUCUCUCCACCAGACCUCGCCGCCGUCCAUUCACCCCCAUCAAGCUCCCCUUCUCGCCGUCGCCGUCGCCGGCGGUGGAGCUGCAGAGCGAGCAGCACCGGCGGCACGUACGACCACAACCCGCUGCUGCAGCCACCCCCGGACCCGCACUUCCCGCUGCGCCUCCCCGUCCAGGACGGCAGCAGCGGCAGCCGCCUCCGCAUCUUCUCCGGCACGGCGAACCCGACGCUGGCGGAGGAGAUCGCCUGCUACCUGGGGCUGGAGCUGGGGCUGAUCAAGAUCAAGCGGUUCGCGGACGGGGAGCUGUACGUGCAGCUGCAGGAGAGCGUGCGCGGGAGCGACGUGUUCCUGGUGCAGCCCACCUGCCCGCCGGCCAACGAGAACCUCAUGGAGCUGCUCAUCAUGGUGGACGCCUGCCGCCGCGCCUCCGCCAAGACCAUCACCGCCGUCGUGCCCUACUUCGGCUACGCGCGCGCCGACCGCAAGAUGCAGGGCCGCGAGUCCAUCGCCGCCAAGCUCGUCGCCAACCUCAUCACGGAGGCGGGCGCGCACCGCGUGCUCGCCUGCGACCUCCACUCCGGCCAGUCCAUCGGCUACUUCGACAUCCCCGUGGACCACGUCUACGGCCAGCCCGUCAUCCUCGACUACCUCGCCAGCAAGACCAUCUGCCCCAACGACGUCGUCGUCGUCUCGCCCGACGUCGGGGGCGUCGCCAGGGCGCGCGCCUUCGCCAAGAAGCUCUCCGACGCGCCGCUCGCUAUUGUCGACAAGCGGCGGCUGGGCCACAACCAGGCCGAGGUGAUGAACCUCAUCGGCGACGUGAGGGGGAAGGUGGCCGUCAUGGUGGACGACAUGAUCGACACCGCCGGGACGAUGCACAAGGGCGCGGAGCUGCUCCACAGGGAGGGGGCCAGGGCGGUGUACGCCUGCAGCACCCACGCCGUGCUCAGCCCUCCCGCCGUGGAGAGGCUCUCCGGCGGCCUGUUCCAGGAGGUGAUCAUCACCAACACCGUCCCGGUGCCGCCGGACCAGCGCUUCCCGCAGCUCACCGUGCUCUCCGUCGCCAACCUCCUCGGCGAGACCAUCUGGCGCGUCCACGACGAGUGCUCCGUCAGCAGCAUCUUCCAAUGA
rnacentral:rRNA from 1 species